UUGUUUAUAAUUUUUGAAUUGAUUUGUUAAAAAAAAUUUAAACCUUAUUUGCAAUACUGAUUUGUUUUAUUCUUAUGUGCAAUAGAAUAAUAAGUUGAAUAAGAAGCAUACACUACUUAAUUGAUAUAACCGUUUAGUCAAUUCUCUUCUCAAUUUUUUUUUGUUUUUCUCCAUUUUUGUUCAAGGUAAUCAAAGUAUCAUUAUUUCUAUUUCUAAAGGUACUUGUACCUAGCUUGAAAAACUUUAAGAUAAGUUAAAGUGGAGAACCAUUCCCAAAACAAGUAAUAAGUACAGUUGGGUUAUUGAUAUCAUAUCCUCGAUUGACAUCUAUGCCAUUGUAUUUACAUCUAAAGGAUUUAUGAUGAAAAUAAAUAUCUUCUUCAUUUCCAUUUUCCUCACUUUUUUUUUCGUAAUUUAUGUGCAUAUCAUAAUCUUUUGCGAGCAUAUAUAUGCAUGUUGUAAUCGCAAUAAUCUAUUGCUAUCAUAAUUCAUAGCCUAAUAUAGUUGCUAGCAUAUAUAUGCAUGUCAUAAUCUAUUGAAUUUUUUAGCAUAAGGUCUUAGAGUAUUCACAUAUCUAUAGGUUCUAUAUAUUUAUACUUUUUAAAACAUCAAAUGAAGUAUAUCAGCCUUAUCCCGAAGGUGAAGUCUCUUUAAAUUGAGCUUCAACAUGUUAGCAGUUACCUAACUUAAUAAUCUAACAAUUUGGUAUUAUAUAUCAUUUUGCAACUCUUCCAUAAAGUAAUUGUGUUUCCUCUAUUCAUAUUUUCUGUCCUUAUUUUUUUUUAAAAAAAUUGAAUUAGUAAUUGUGUGUCAAAUCAUGCUUACAAUCAUUAAUAGGUACUUAUAUGAUAAAUUGAUAAAUUUAUUUUACAAUUUUUUCAACAUAUUUGAAAAACAAAAAAAAUAAAAAAAAUAAAUAAGCAUGUCUUUCUAGAUGUAAUCACUACCAAGCUCAUGUGAAAAGCUAUAGCAAUGAGGGUAUAAGCUUCAGUUUUGUUUUGGAGAUUCAUAUUGAGAGUUGUAGAUUGUGAAUGUAAUUGUGUGCAUAAUGAGGACACUAAUAGUAUAAGCUUUGGUGUCUAUUUUUUUUUUUUACUUGAAAUAUCUAUAGCAGAAUCUGAGGUUCAACUUCAUCACCAAUAACAUGGUCGAGGACAUAACUUCAAGAGACAGCAAACAGUUUCAUAUUAAUCUUUUGGGGUGCAGGAAUUUGACAUUCUACAACGUUGCAAUUAGUGCACCAAAAGACAGCCUUAACACAGAUGGAAUUCACAUUGGACGUUCCUCAGGGAUCGAUAUCACCGAUUCAGCCAUAGAAACCGGAGAUGAUUGUGUCUCAAUUAGUGAUGGCAGUGGGCAAAUUAAUAUCCAAAGAAUAACCUGUGGACUUGGCCAUGGCAUCUGUGUGGGAAGUCUAGGAAAGUACCCCGAUGAAGAAUCUAUGGUUGGCAUUAGUGUCAAGAACUGCACCUUCAUCAACACCCAGAAUGGCGUCAGAGUGAAGACAUGGCCUGCUUCUCUCAUCAAGACACUACCUCUGAAAUGCAUCUUGAAGAUAUUGUCAUGAAUAAUGUUGGCAAUCCCAUAAUCAUAGAUCAAAAGUAUUGCCCCCAUAACCAAUGCAACUUAAAGGUACUUCUAAAGGAAAUGAAAAUUUCCAUUUUUAUUGCUUAUUUUCCCUCUUUUUCCCUUCAUUUUUAUUGGUUUGGAACUUAACUAUCCGUUGUUUUCAGAGUCUAUCACGCAUUAAGCUCAGCAAUGUUAGCUUCAGAAACAUCCAGGGCACUACCUCAACUCAGGUUGCUGUCAAGCUUGUUUGUAGCCAAGGAGUACCAUGCCAAGACGUUGAGCUUGGUGACAACAACGGAAAUGAAGGCCUUGCCAUGUCACAAUGCAAGAACAUUAAGCCAAAUCUACUGGACAAGCAACUGCCAAGGACUUGUGCCUAAGAUGCUUAAUCUUCUUCCAAAGUCUGAACAAAUUGUACUGCUUCUAUUAUAUAGCUACCUCUUCAUGCUCACGCGUCUGCUAUUUUAUUGGUGAAUAAACUACAAUGAACAAACAAUGAUACGAUACUCGGCUAUUAUGGAAGGUAUGUGCAGUUUGAUCCCAUAAGAAAAAACAAAUGUCUAUUUAGUCUUUUGCUGCUAUAGUACAAAUUGAAGCUCCAAAGAAUAAUGUUAAUGUAAAUUAUUUAAUGUUAAUGCAGUUUGGAUGAGAAAAUGCAGUCAAGUGAAUAAAAAUUCCUUUGGAGUGUAUCAUUUGAAAUUUUAUCUUUGGAUUACUACAACCAAGAAAAAACUAUAGAUUGGUAUCUGGUGUGUUGGAAAUGCUUGAUGGUUGGUAAUCGAACUAAUGUACUAAUGACUUCGAGAAAAACUAAGAAUGAUAAAGACAAUAGUAAUAAAUGGCAAGAACUGAGAAAGUAUUGAAGUUGUAAUUGUCUCAAGGAGCGUAUUUUGGGAUUUGAAUUAUAUGUAAAGAAGAAAUGCUCUUGGAAACUGCAACAUGAUGGAUCUUGAAUGGUUUUCUGUCAUAUGUGUUUGUUGUUUGGAGAUGACCGAGUAAUAUUAGUUUUAUCAUGCCCCUUUAAGCUGCCAUGUGGAAGCUGUAGCGUUAGCAGAGAGUUGAUAAUGCUUUUUGGGUAGUUGGAAGCUUGAACACCAACAUAUUAGUGCAAGGACAUGAAGAUAUUAAUUCAUUCAUACGAUUUAUUGUUUGAGAGGAUAGAAAAAAAAAAUAUAAAACUAUUUAAGAUCCUAAAAAUAUCUUAUAUUUCUCCGUUUUUUGUAUUUACACUCUGAUCCAUGGACUUUUACCCCACAAAAUAUCUCAUAUUCUUUUUCAAAUUUCUACCUACAUAUAAACUUCUUAUGUCUAUAUUUAUUAUAUUACUUUUUUCUCCUCAUGACCUAAUUAAAAUAUGUAUAAAGAUAAUCCUAACAACUUUUCUUAUUUUAUAGGCAAACCUAUUUCUAUAAGGAAUUAAUUGUAAAACAUCCUAUAUAAGCUACCUUAACAUAGCUGAAUUAUGUUAUAAAUUUUAUUUUGAUACGAUAAAUAACAAAAAUCCAUUGAUAAAAAAUUUAUCAAAAUCCAAUAACUGUAUAGGAUAAACUACACUUAUUUUGGAUAAAUAAUAAAGUACAUUAUCCAAGUAUUAAAAGAUUGUCUUUGUUGUGUAUAAUUUGGAGAGCCUCAGAUAAUGUGCAAGUAGAUGAGACUUAGAGUGAUAUGUUUUCUCUUUCAAAUCAAUUUUAGAGGGACCAAAUCCAAAAUUUUAGUCUUUUUUUAGAAGUGUUUUAGAAAAUAGUUUGGAAAAACACUUCUUGAUAAUAGCGUUUGAAAAUUAUUCUCUAAUAUUUUAUAGCACAUAAAUUUGUUUGAGAGAAUAAAAUGCUCUUAACUUGUUUCCUAUGUUUUUAAAUAUAUUUUAAAAAUAAUUUUCAUAUGCAUUGCUUUAUUUUUAAUCAUUCUCUAUAUUUGUAUAAUAAUUUUUUAAAACAAUUCUAUAAAGAAGUAAAAAGAAACAAAAAUAACUAAAAAGAUGUUCUUUCGAAACAUUGUAUUUUCUGUUUAAAAGUUUUUUUUUUUUUUUUUUUUCUGUUUUCUAGUUGUCAAACUAUACUUUCUUGUUUUUUUUUUUUUUUUUUUUUUUUUUUAUUUUUUUUUUUUUUUUUAUUCUAGAUAAUAGAAAACUGUUUUCAUAACAUGGCCUCAACUUUUACUAUGAAAAUCGAAAUGGUGCUUAAACUUAAACUUCAAAUUGAUUUUAAUCAAAAUAUGUUUUUUUUUUCUCCUUUUUCCUAUCAAAUCAAAACUCAAAUUUCUUUCUUUUCUAUAAAUACAAAAUUUCAAUUUCUAUCGUUGGACUAAGAACUCCAAAUCAUUUUCAAUUGGCGGUGGAGUCUUUGAUUUAAGGACACAGAAUGCGCAUGAAAAAUCUCAUAGUUGUGUGUGUGCAUGUAUGAUAUAUAUAAAGAAUGUUGGAUGAGGAAAUUGUGGAUAUGGCCAAAUCUGAAUCUCUUAUAUUUUUGCAAUAGCAUGUGAUUUACAUAGAAACUCGAUGGUGGAAGAAGACUAUAAAUAAAGGUCUCCUCUCCUCAUUCUAUUUAUCCUAGAAUUGAAGGAAAAAGAAUGAUCUAACUCUUUGAGUGAAAAAGUGAGGUUAUCUUGAGAAUUAGAGGAUUAUUAUUCUCUUGGGUGUAAUUAGGAUAUGGAUUGUGAGGAGUGAGUGAUUAUAAACACUUGUGGUUAUUUUUCUCCCUAUAAUGAAGAUCUAUAGUAGCUCUGUGGGCGUAGCUUGUUUUGGGUGAACCACGUAAAUUUCAUGUUUUGUUUGUCUACUCUAUUUCGUUAUUAUUUUCACAUUUUUUUUAUUCAUUUCAUUACUCUAGUCUUUUGGGAAGUUUAUUUCCUAACAACUGGUAUCAAAGCGACAUGUCUUGUGGUGUUUUAGGAGCUUAGUGGUAGUUUGAGGAGGUUGGAAUUUAAGAGGACAAUUGUGACCUCUCUAGUUUUUCUUAGGAACUUUUAUUUUUGUCUAAGGAGACUAGGUUUUAAGUGGGAUUGUUGUGAUCCUUCUAGUCUUUCCUGAGAACUUUUUUACUAGUUUAAAGCUUUGGGUGGAAGUUUUUCUAUAAUUUUUUGCAAGUACAGAGGUACUGUAAAAAGUACAAUUUUUGCAGAAGUCCUAAAGAACCAGAUUUGAGUGGGAUUGAUGGCAACAAACGAAGGAAAGAGCAUCAUAAUUUAGAAGUUCAAUGGUGAAGAUUUUAGCUUCUAGAAAAUGCAAAUUGAAGAUUAUCUAUAUUAGAAAGAUGUGCAUCUGCAUUUUUAAUGAAGAGUGGGCUCUACUCGAUAGGCAGGCCCUUGGAGUUAUCUGGUUGACGUUAUCUCAUAAUGUCGCUUUCAACAUAGCAAAGAAGAAGACUGUGAUGGGUCUUAUGGCGACUCUCUAUGACAUGUAUGAGAAGCCAUUCACUUCAAAUAAAGUGCACUUGAUGAGGUUGUUAUUCAAUUUGUGAAUGAUAGAAAGCGCGUCUAUAGCAACUCACAUCAAUGAAUUUAGUACAAUCACAACACAACUAAGUUUGGUGGAAAUCGAGUUUGACGAUGAAGUUCGAGCUUUAAUCUUUGUAUCCUCUCUACCGAAAAGUUGGAAUGCGAUAGUGACAACAAUGAGCAAUUCUUUUGCAAAGAAGAAGAUGGUAUUUAAGGAUAUUCAAGAUCUAAUUCUAAGCAAAGAAAUACACCAAAGAGAACUAAGAGAAACAUCAAGUUCUACCUUAAACAUUGAAUCUAGAGGUAGACAUAAUGACAGAAACUCAAAUCAAAGUAGAUUAAAAUCAAGACAGAGCAAGUCUAGAUCUAGGAAGGAAGAGAAUAGUUGUUGGAACUGCGGUAAGACUUAUCACUAGAAGAGAGAUUAUAGAGCACCGAAAAAGAACAAUGGCAGUGAAAAGAAUCCACGAACAUGGCCGAAGAUAUUGGCAAUGCUCUAAUCCUAACUGUCAAUAGUCUAGUUGAAUCCUAGAUUUUGGAUUCUGGGGCAUUGUAUCACUGCACCUCUUAUUACGAAAUCAUGGAGAACUACAUCAGUGGUGAUUUCAGGAAGGUUGACCUGGAUGAUGUUGAGACCUUGAAGAUUACGAGAAAAAAAGAUAUUCAAGUGAGGCUACCAAAUAUGUGGAAAUUUAAAGAUGUGAUAUGUAUUCCUAGUUUUAAAAAUAAAAAUAAAAAAUCUCUGUGGAUUAACUUGAUAAGAAGCGGAUGAAAGAUCACCAAGGGAGCUAUGGUCAUAGCUCAUGGAAAGAAGAACGGUCCUCUCUAUGUUACUUCUAGAAUGGAGAAUAUUGUUGAAGUUGUAAAAUCAAAUGAGAAGUAGAAAAUUUGGCACGAGAGACUCAGUCAUAUGAGCGAGAAAUGGAUGAAGGUUCUUGUUUCAAAGACAAAGCUGUCAAAUCUAAAAUCAAUGUGAAGAUUGUAUAUUCAAUAAGCAGAAAUUGGUUAAUUUCUCAAAGAUUGGCAAGCCAUCCAAAGUAGAGAAGUUAGAGCCGAUUCACAUAGACACGUAGGGGUCAUCACCAGUUUCAUCUAUUGGAGGCUCAUUGUACUACAUCACCUUCAUUGAUGACUCUACUAGGAAAGUAUGGGUUUAUUUUCUAAAAAAGAAGUUAGAAGUUUGUGAUGUUUUCAGGAAAUGGAAAGCCAUGGGAGAUGCGAAGAUCUACUAGGGGCCUAUAAGUAGAGGUCUCAUCUCCUCAUUUUAUUUGCCUCAUAAUUGAAAGAAAAAGAGUGGUCUAAUUCUUUGAGUGAAAAUUGAGGUUCUCUUAAGAAUUAGAGAAUUAUUAUUCUCUCGGGUGUAAUUCGGAUUUGGGAUGUGAGGAUUCAAUGCUCGUAUACACUUGUGGUUAUUUUUCUCCCUAUGUUGAAGAUCUACAACAAUUUUGUGGACGUAGCUGGUUUUGGGUGAACCAUGUAAAUUUCGUGUGUUGUUUUGUUUGCUCUAUUUUAUUAUUAUUUCCACAUUUUUUUAUUUGCUUCAUUAAUUUGGUCUAUUGGGAGGUUUACUUCCUAAUAUUUUUCAAGUCAAAUUCUUAUCUAAAAUUGAAAUAAGAAUUGGUUUCAUCCUCAAUUGAAAUCGAUUCUUGGAACACUUCACCAUUCCCUUUCCACAUUUCCCACCAUCCAACCCGGCCAAUAAAUACAAUUACUUGGCUCCAUUGCAUAUUUUUGCUUAUCUUUCAUUCACAUUCAAAAAUGGUUAGAAAGGAACCUUGAUUUUAGGAAGUUCCCAAUUAUUAGGAUUUGAUUUAGUUUUCUAAUAGUCAAUUAGAAUAUUUACAAAUUUGAGUGGUUGAUUUAAUUAUAUGUUUAUACAUAAUUCCUACAAGUUAUUUUUUUUUUAAUACUUUUUGUUAUUAGGAAUCUCUAUUUUUUAGGUAAAGGUGUCCAUAAAAAAAAAAAAAAAAGGAGUUAGUGCGAUAGUUGAACAAGAGUGGUGGAAAAUAAUGUCAUUUUCUUGAUUUUUCUCAAUUACUUACCUUCUUACCUUGACUUUCCAUCAUGACUUAUUUCUCUCUAUGGAUUUGUUUAUGUGUUAUCAACUCUAUUACUUGAAUAAAUUGGGUUGUAAGAAAAAGAUGACAAGUAGGACAGAUUUGUUACAAGUUCUUUAGCUCAAUAAAAAAACUUACAAUAAUUGGAGUAUGAAGGUAAAGACUUUACUUGAUUCACAAGAUGUAUGCAAAGGUUGAAGAGGAAGGCUAUAAACAAGGAGUCAUGACAUAAAACCACUAUUUUAAAAGCAAAGUAAUUUUUUGAAAGGUAUAAGGAAAAAAGAAAAAAAAAAAGGAAGAAGAAAGCUCUUACCCUUAUCUAUCAAGCAAUGAAUAAAGGCAUAUUUGGAAAUUUUCCAAAUGCAACCAUGCACUACCAAGAAAGCAUGGAAGAUAUUAGAAAAUGCAUAUAAAGAAAUUGACUAAUUAAGAAAAGUUUGCCUUUGUACUGGGUAUUGUGUAGAGAAAUCAAGUCUUCUUUAAUUGAGGUGAGUCUUUUGCAAAAUAUUUCGAGUUUGCUCUCUUUCCAUUUGUUGAUUCAUGUUUUUUUUUUUUUUGGUAAUCAACUAGGCAAGAAUUUCUUACUUGUCAUGCCACAAUGGUGAACAUGCUUGCAUGAAUAGUAUUCUCUCUACUCUUUCUUUUUUAUUCUUUCUUUAUUAUAUUGAUGGAUAUACUUAGAAGUGAAUAGUUAAUUGGGUUUUUUAUUAAAAGAAAUCAAAUAUUGGUAAUGCUAUUUAGUAUCAUGCUUGUAAUAAUCAAUUAUUGAUUGUAAAGAUACUUAGCUUAAACAAUUAUUAUAUUGAAUUCAAUUUAGUACUAUGGCUAAUACCAAAAGAAUAAUAUUUAGUCUUGGUUAACCAUUAUUCACUAUUCUAGAGACAAAUGCUCACAAGUUUUGCAUCUUUGAAGGAUACGGGAAAAGUUGACUCAACUGCAUCACCAACUUACAAGCUCAAGCUUAUAUACAACCUUCAUUUAUCAGGUUUAUAAUUCGUAUCUUUUUUUUUUCAUCCCUUUAUUGUUUAUAAUUUUUGAAUUGAUUUAUUAAAAGGAAUUUCAACUUUAUUUGCAAUAAUGAUUUUUUUAUUCUCAUGUGCAAUAGAAUAAUAAGUUGUAUAAGAAGCAUAUACUACUUAAUUGGUAUAACCCUUUAGUCAAUUCUCUUCUCAAAUCCUUUUUAUUUUUCUCCAUUUUUGUUCAAGGUAAUCAAAGCAUCAUUCUUUCUAUUUCUAAAGGUACUUGAACCCAAUUUGAAAAACUUUAAGACAUGUUAAAGUGGAGGACCACUCGCAAAAUAAGUAACAUUAGUUGGGUUACUAAUAUCAUAUCCUCGAUUGACAUCUAUGCCAUUGCAUUUUCUUCUAAAGGAUUUAUAAUGAAAAAAAAUAUCUUCUUCGUUUCCAUUUUCCUCCCUUCUUUUGACCAUAAAUUUGUGCACAUUGAAAACAUUCAUAGCCCAAUAUUUUUGCUAGCAUAUAUAUGCAUGUCACAAUCAAUUGAAUUUUUUAGCAUAAGUCUUAUAGUAUUCACAUAUGUGUAGGUUCUAUAUAUUUAUCAUGUUUACAAUAUCAAAUGAAGUAUAUGAACCUUAUCUCAAAGGUGAAGUCUCUUUACAAGGAGCUUCAACAUGUUAGUAGUUACCUAACUUAAUAAUCUAAC
rnacentral:lncRNA from 1 species